rnacentral:rRNA from 1 species
AGAGUUUGAUCAUGGCUCAGGAUGAACGCUGGCGGUGUGCUUUAAGCAUGCAAGUCGAGCGGGAUUAGUAGCAAUAUUAGUUCAGCGGCAGACGGGUGAGUAACACGUAGGAAUCUACCUCUGGGUGGGGAAUAGCUCCGCGAAAGCGGAGGUAAUACCGCAUGAUAUCGUAAGAUCAAAGGCCUUAACCGGCCGCCGAGAGAGGAGCCUGCGUCCUAUCAGCUAGUUGGUGAGAUAACAGCCCACCAAGGCUAUGACGGGUAGGGGGUGUGAGAGCAUGACCCCCCACAAGGUCACUGAGACACGGGACCUACACCUACGGGUGGCAGCAACUGGGAAUCUUGCGCAAUGGACGAAAGUCUGACGCAGCGACACCGCGUGUGGGAUGAAGUAUUUCGGUAUGUAAACCACUGUGGCGAGGGAUGACCAAAGACAGUACCUCGCUAGAAAGCACCUGCUAACUACGUGCCAGAAGCCUCGGCAAUACGUGGGGUGCAAGCGUUAUCCGGAUUUACUGGGCGUAUAGGGUUUCGCAGGCGGAUUGUUAAGUCAGGCCUUAAAAGCUGAGGCUCAACCUCAGGCAUGGGUUUGAUACUGGCAAUCUAGAGGAUAUCAGGGGUGAUUAGAAUACUCGGUGGAGGGGUGAAAUCCGUUGAGAUCGAGUAGAAUGCCAAUGGCGAAAGCAAAUCACUGGGGUAUUCCUGACGCUCAGGUACGAAAGCUAGGGUAGCAAACGGGAUUAGAGACCCCGGUAGUCCUAGCCGUAAACUUUGGAUACUAGCUGCUUCCUUUAAGGGGGUGGCGUAAGCUAACGCGUUAAGUAUCCCGCCUGGGUAGUACGGCCGCAAGGUUGAAACUCAAAGGAAUUGACGG